rnacentral:rRNA from 2 species
GGGUUGUGAGGUUAAGCGACUAAGCGUACACGGUGGAUGCCCUGGCAGUCAGAGGCGAUGAAGGGCGUGCUAAUCUGCGAUAAGCGCCGGUAAGGUGAUAUGAACCGUUAUAACCGGCGAUACCCGAAUGGGGAAACCCAGUGUGACUCGUCACACUAUCAUUAACUGAAUCCAUAGGUUAAUGAGGCGAACCGGGGGAACUGAAACAUCUAAGUACCCCGAGGAAAAGAAAUCAACCGAGAUUCCCCCAGUAG